rnacentral:lncRNA from 1 species
CAAUCAGCGGCAACAGUGCACUGUCAAAACCUGUGGAGUUACAAAGCUGAAAUGGACCAAACAGCCAAACUGUCACACCUGCAGCAUUGCAGCUCUGCUUUACGCAAUUUCCUUCGGGAUUAAUAAGAUUUAUGAUCCUGUGUGCAGCAUGGACGGUGAUUUCGCGGUUUAUAAGUCUCUCAGAAGAAGGGUAGAAACCACGGGAAGACUCGAGAAGGAAAAGGUGGACUACAUCUCCCAGC